GCUCCUGAGGAAUGGGGAGGGAGAAGACCACGUUGAAGACCACUGGUCUCAGUUUGGUCUCAAUCACAGUACAACUGCACCUUUUCAGUGUUGGGAGUUGGGUCGUCCGGCUUAUGCCGAGAGUUCAGCCUUCCGCCCCUCCCAGCUCUGGGACCCCAUCACACAGGGACACCCAAGUGCUGCCGUUACCUGAAAGCCGCCGGCAAAAAGGACUGUCAGUAAGAACCGUGGCUUCCGGGUGGCGCGGCCACAUCCAUGAGAUCCUGCCCCAGAGCAUUCAGCAGUGGCAGAAGAGCCCCUGCAUUGCUGAGGAGAAUGGCAAGAAAAUGCUUGAGUGCAUCCACCAUGAACAGCAGGACACUCAUGCCCGCCUGAAGGACAUGGAAUGCUAUUUCCAUGAACUUGAGGCCAUCAUUCUGCGUGGCUGUGUGCCAAGAUAAAGAGCGGACCCUCUACUGUCCUAUGCAGAACAACAAACAUGGUGGUAACAGCAUCGACAUGCAGAUCUUCUGUGUCUCCUGUGGGAAACCCAUCAACGUGCGUAUUGCCCUGUGCCACAUGGAGUGCUGCUUCGCCAGGGUUAGAUCUUUGACUGGGGGCAGAUGGGGCAAGAGUGUGUUUGGUUGGGUGGGGUCCAUGGGGAAGGGGAGCAGGUUUGGUGCUGGGGUAUUAGUUGUAGAAGAGAAUACAACACUUAUCCAUGGCUCUACCCAUUUAUGCUUAUUUUCCAUCACCAGUAUAAGGGCCAAGAUUUGGGCAUCAACCACUGGUGGCGAGAGGGACAUUGACCAUGCUUAUAGGCACAUGGGGUCAACAAGGGACAAAAGUGUUGUUUGGGGCUUUGUCAUGUGAGUGUAUGCAGUGUAUGUCCAUAGUUCCUUCCAUUUGUACUCUUUUUCUCUCCAAGUAUGAACACAAAUCAUCCAUCAGGUCCAUGUACCCGACUUGCAUUGAGGGGUGAGUGUGGGUGCUACUCAGGGUCAAAGGCAUCAUGUGGACAGGAUCAGGAGCAGGGUGGGCAAGAUGAAGAUCAGGAUGUGGGUGGGCUCGGAGGCAGAGUUGGGUGAAUUAAGGGCAGAAUUUCGGUGGGGAGCCACCAGAGAAGCCCACUUGGGUGAGCUGGGCAUCAACAAAGUGUGGGCAUCGAUCAGGGUGGAACCACCCUGAUCCUUAGCACCUCACUUUCAAUCUCUCCCCAGAGCCACAAGGCUCUUCUGUGAUGUUUACAACCCACAGAGUGAGAGGUACUGCAAGCAACUCCAGGUGUUAGGCCCCAAGCAGUGCUCGGGGUGAGACUUCUUUCUCGUGACCCUCCAUUCCUCCCCUUCUCCCUACCUGACCACCUUCUUCUUCUGGUUCUCCAUGCUUGAAAUGUCUGUUAUUCCUUCUUCCUGACUGCCUUCAUACCUCCUGACCAACCUCUGUGGGUCCCCUCCUCUCUUCCUGACCUUCCCUAUACUCCCCCCUACUUCUUACUGCUCAGUCAUAUACUGGUCUCACUUUUUUCUCUGCCUGGCUGCUGUUUCUUUAUUGAUAAGCUCCUUGCCUGACCACAACCCCACAACAUUUCUCUCUCUUAUUGCCUAACCUCCAUUCCUCUGCUCCUCACUGUGUAACCAUUCCCUGUUCCUCCUGUCUCCUUGCUUGUCCAUCUACUUUCUUUUCCAAGCCCCUGCCUGACAUUCCACCCCCAAUCAUCCCCAAAAGGCCACCCUCAAUUCCUCUCUUUUGAAUUUCUGACUUCCCUUCAUUCUUAUUCUCACUGCCUGACUUCCCUAGUCACCUUUGCCCUGCUUCCAAAGUCUCUUCUUCUUCCUUGUUUGAUCAGCUCUCAUCCCCCCCCCCACACUGCUGACCCCAUUCCUCACCUCCUCCAUGUAUUAUCAACCUCCAUUCAUUUACUUCUCCCUGUCAGACCUCCCCUCCAUCCUUCCUUUCCUUCCUGUUUGAUCUCUUUCUACUCUUCCAUCCUUCCUACCUGAUCACCCCCUUUCCUACAUCCCAGCUUAACUUCUUCCUCCAUCCUCCAUGCUUGAUCAUACCCCCUUUGACCCCUUCUUCUUUACCUAGUAAUCACUGAAUUCCUCUCUUCCUUUCUGCUAGGUUGCUUCCCAUCCCUCUCCUUCUGCCUGACUGCCCUCUAAUCCCCCUCUUCCUCUCAUUUUACCUGCCUGAUCCCCCUCCAUAGCCACCCCGCUCCAUACCUCAUCAUCAUUCUUUCUGCCCACAGGUUCCAGAUGAUGAGGUGUGCAGUUGUUCACUAGUGCACAAUGUCUUUGAGGUCACUAAUGAUUUCUGUUAUCUCCCCAAACGCUUCUGCAACCUCCACUAUUGCUGGGAAAAGCUGAGGUGUGCUGAGGUGGACCUAGAGUGUGUUCAUGCGGUAGGUUACAAGGCUGAGUGUGGCUGAGGAGCAGCAUGGGAUCCUAGAAGCCCCUUCUCACAAUGAGCCCCCAUGGUUGUACAAGCUGGAAUAGCUGGUUGAGCAGGAACACAAGGUGCACACAGCCAUGAUGAAUCGGACAGGGCUACUGGCCCUGAUGCUUCACCAGACAAUCUAGCAUGAUCCACUCACCACUGACCUACGCUCCAGAGUAGACAGCUGAGUUCUGCUCAACUGAGGUCCUGUGCCUGACACCUGGUACAAGGGGCCAUUCUAUGAACUUCUCGCACACCUGUUCCUCUUUCUCAGGGCAUAUCAAAGUUUCUCUGUGCUUCUCUGUUCCCCGUUUAGUAUCCUGUCUCUACGCCUCCUUAAGGUGGACUGGUCUUUAAAAUUUCCCCAUUUCUGUCCUUUCUUUUAUCCCCCUCUCUCUUUCCUGAACCUGGGCAGGGCCAGAGCGUCUGCCCUGCCCUCAUCUCCCACUAUCCAGAGUUUUGUUUAGAAACUUUAGAAUAACAAGAGAUUUUAAUAUCUGCUGGUAGUUCGUAAGCAGUCUCUGUGUCCACAAACCCAAUUUCAAAUGUCCGAUGGUGGUGGGUGAAAAUGCAGCUUUACUUGGGGGUCAGGCUACAGAACCCAUUUGGAGUUGGCUGUGAAAUAAUGCACACUGUGCUCGGUGGGUCCUCCUCUCUCAAGGGAGAUAUGACCUUAUGAAAGGGGUGCCAGCGACCCUGAGUCCCUCAUGCAAGGCCAUCAGGUAUAUCGUUGUCACUUGCUUAGUACACUUUGAACAACUUCUGUAUAAUUAUUGGUAUUCUCCAGGCCAGAGGUGCUGCAAAAAUGUUGCAGUGGGGGAAAUAGGUGAUGUUUCCACUUUGGGACACUGAGGAGAGUUCAAGGUGUCAUGGCGAUUAUGCCCUUGCCCCUGCCCAUCUUAUUCCACCUCUUACCAUACCAUAAGGUCCCAGCCCUUUCUGUCAGCCUUGGCUCCUGUCAGUGCAUUCCUGGUCUAUGUCUCCCCGCAACCCCCUCCCCAGACCUCCAUCCUGUCUCGUUUCCCUCCUCCCACUACCCUGCUCUGGGUAUACCCUUUCCACCUGGCUCUGCCCACUGAACACCUGUAGGGUUGCCAGAAGAGGAUUGAGACCUCUGCCACAUCUGCCUUUGCCAGCCCUGACCAGGCUAGUGGAGGUGUGUCCAGUAAGGCUGCCUGUGGGGAAUGGUAUGCCUCAAAUGAGAGAAUUGAACUACUCUUCCUGUUCUUUUUAUAUUCACUAGUCCCUUAGAGUUUUGUUUUGUUUUAGUGUUUUUCACUAUUUUCUCCCUGGGGACUCACACAUUUCACCUAAAUGUUUCAGGAUGUGCUCUAGACUUACACCUGGUAUUCCACCAUAACUAGUAUAUUAGUUAUCUAAUGCACUACCUAUCUGGUGCCAUAUCUCCUUUUUUAUUCCUAGUAUUGUUUUUUUUUUCUUUUUUUAACUUGAUCAUAUUUCCAGGAGCUAAUCCCUAUAAAUAAUUAUAAGAUUAGCUUUUAGUUUUAUUUAUACUCCCUAAGUUUAUAUUUAUGUAAACUUUCAUUUUAUUAAUUACCACCCUGAUUUCUUUGUUUUCUGUUUCAUUUUCUUUGUGUUUGCUUCAUUUUGUUCUUUUUCUGACUUCUUGAAUUGAAUUCCUAACUUGAUUAUUUUUUGGUUUUCCAGUCUUUUAUAAUAGUAAAGGAACUGAAACUAUACACUUUUUUCUAAUGUAGCUGUAUCUCAUAAAUCUAGUCUGAAAAGUGCAAGUUCAGAAUUGAUUUCUCACUCUGAUUCUAGCUAUUAAGGAAUGUUUCUUAGUUUCUAAUUGGUUACAGUAGUUUUGGCUAUCUUUCCUUUCUACUUUUAUAAUUAUGGUUUUACUGUGAUCAGAGAAUGUAGCUUGUUGAAUCUGAACUCAAAAUAUUACUCAAGAUUUUCUUUGUGGCCCAGAUUACUCAAGUGAGUUUUGUAAAACUUUCAUGGAUGUGAGAAAAUAUAUUUUCUGUUAGGUACAGAUUACUCAUUAGGACUUUUCAAUCUAGUUUGUUGAUUACCACUUCUUUGCUCUGACUUUUUGUCUUUUUGUCUGCUCCAGCAGUUAUGUUAUCAAAAGAUGGAAUAAAUGUUAUAAUACUUUAAAACAAAUUUGUCUUUGUAGUUCUCUUUUUGCCUGGUAGAGGUGGGAAAUCCUAAAGUACGUAUCUUAAAAUAUUUUGCACAAUGCCACUAUGUGUUUUUGUUUGUUUUGCUUGUUGAGUCCUUUUGACUUUGAAUUUACUUUGCCAAGUACAUCAUCACUGCUUCUUUUAUUUUGCAGCCACUAACCUUACGUGUGGGCUUCCCAGGUGACUCAGUGGUAAAGAAUCCACCAGCAAUGCAA